GUGAACGCGGGCGGCGUGCCUAACACAUGCAAGUCGCGCGGGAUUUUACAGAGUAUCGUAGAGUCUAGCGGCAAACGGGUGAGUAACACGUGGGAAACCUCCCUCAAAAUGGGGAAUAUCUCCGAGAAAUCGGAGUCAAUACCGCAUAAGACCACAGAUUGGCAUCAAUCAGAGGUUAAAGCAGUAAUGCGUUUUGAGAUGGUCCUGCGGCCUAUCAGCUAGUUGGUGGGGUAACGGCCUACCAAGGCUAUGACGGGUAUCCGGCCUGAAAGGGUGAACGGACACACUGGAACUGAGACACGGUCCAGACUCCUACGGGAGGCAGCAGUGGGGAAUUUUGGACAAUGGGCGAAAGCCUGAUCCAGCGACGCCGCGUGGAGGACGAAGGUCUUCGGAUUGUAAACUCCUUUUAGAGGGGAAGAAAAAAAUGACGGUACCCUCAGAAAAAGCCACGGCUAACUACGUGCCAGCAGCCGCGGUAAUACGUAGGUGGCGAGCGUUACUCGGAAUUACUAGGCGUAAAGCGUAUGUAGGUGGUUAGAUAAGUCUUUGGUGAAAUUUCUCGGCUCAACCGGGAAGCUGCCAAGGAUACUGUUUGACUUGAGUGUGGCAGGGGGAGACGGAAUUUCCUGGUGUAGCGUGAAAUGCGUAGAUAUCAGGAGGAACACCGAUGGCGAAAGCAGUCUCCUGGGCCAAUACUGACACUAAUGUACGAAAGCUAGGGUAGCAAACAGGAUAGAUACCUUGUAGUCCUAGCUGUAACGAUGUUC
rnacentral:rRNA from 1 species